UGUGAUAAAUUAGUCGGGGAGCUAGAUAACUAGCUGCUGAUGAGUUAUGGUAUAAACUUAUUAGGCGAACAGGUCUAAUUAGAGAUAGAAAUUUCAUAUUAAUUUAAACAAAGAGGGGUUUAAAAGUAACUAUUCUUGUUAAGUGUUAAAACUAAUUUAAUUUUCUGUGAAAAUUCUAUUAAAUAAUCAGUAUUUUACUAACUAUACUUAGAAGUAAUAUGUUAUAAUAAGUAGUUAAUUAUUUUAUUAAAUUCUCGUUUUAAUUCGAACUGUUUAUUAAAAACAUUUCUAUAAAAAUAUAUUUAUAGUAGGACCUGCUCAGUGUAGGAUAAAUAGCCGCAGUAUCUUGACUGUGCUAAGGUAGCAUAAUUAAUUGUCUCUUAAAUAGGGAAUUGUUUGAAUGGUUGUUUUGAGUUAAUAAAUAUUAAUAAAAUUAUUUGAAAUUAGUUUACAAGUAAAGAACCUUGUUAUAUUAUAAAAGACGGAAAGACCCCGAGAGCUUGAUUAAAUUUUAUUUGGGGCAAAGUCCUUAUUUCAAAGGAAGUUUGAACCCUAGGUUGGGUUUAUUGAUAAAGUUACCUCGGGGAUAACAGGGUUAGAAAUAAGGAGAGUUCAUAUCGAUUUACUUAGUUGCUACCUCGAUG
rnacentral:rRNA from 1 species